rnacentral:snRNA from 1 species
UUUUGUUGGUUUUAGCCUCUUUUU